rnacentral:rRNA from 1 species
AGUGAACGCUGGCGGUAGGCCUAACACAUGCAAGUCGAACGGCAGCACAGUAAGAGCUUGCUCUUACGGGUGGCGAGUGGCGGACGGGUGAGGAAUACAUCGGAAUCUACUUUUUCGUGGGGGAUAACGUAGAGAAACUUACGCUAAUACCGCAUACGACCUACGGGUGAAAGCAGGGGAUCUUCGGACCUUGCGCGAUUGAAUGAGCCGAUGUCGGAUUAGCUAGUUGGCGGGGUAAAGGCCCACCAAGGCGACGAUCCGUAGCUGGUCUGAGAGGAUGAUCAGCCACACUGGAACUGAGACACGGUCCAGACUCCUACGGGAGGCAGCAGUGGGGAAUAUUGGGCAAAGGGCGCAAGCCUGAUCCAGCCAUACCGCGUGGGUGAAGAAGGCCUUCGGGUUGUAAAGCCCUUUUGUUGGGAAAGAAAAGCAGCAGGUUAAUACCCCGCUGUUCUGACGGUACCCAAAGAAUAAGCACCGGCUAACUUCGUG